rnacentral:pre_miRNA from 13 species
AGAGGAGAAAGGAUGCCGCUCAAUUACCCCGACAUAGUCAUACGGUGAAUGUUGUGUAUUGGAGACCAAUGUUAACUGUAAGACUGUGUCUCGGUGGUUGCCAGCCCAUCAACAAUGGCCC